rnacentral:rRNA from 1 species
CGGAGGGUGCGAGCGUUGUCCGGAAUCACUGGGCGUAAAGGGCGCGUAGGCGGCUUGGUAAGCGCGCGGUGAAAGUCCGGGGCUCAACCCCGGAUCGGCCGUGCGGACUGCCGGGCUGGAGCACUGUAGGGGCGGGUGGAACUCCGGGUGUAGCGGUGGAAUGCGUAGAGAUCCGGAAGAACACCGGUGGCGAAGGCGGCCCGCUGGGCAGUGGCUGACGCUGAGGCGCGACAGCGUGGGGAGCAAACAGGAUUAGAUACCCUGGUAGUCCACGCCGUAAACGAUGGGCACUAGGUGCUUGGGGGAGCGACCCCCCGGGUGCCGGCGCUAACGCAUUAAGUGCCCCGCCUGGGGAGUACGGCCGCAAGGCUG